rnacentral:tRNA from 1 species
GUCCCGGUAGUAUAAUGGUAAGUAUUCUCGCCUGUCACGCGGGUGAUCCGGGUUCGAUCCCUGGCAACGGCG